UACAGAGGGUGCAAGCGUUGUUCGGAAUUAUUGGGCGUAAAGCGCGUGUAGGCGGCUUGGCAAGUCGGGUGUGAAAUCCCUCAGCUUAACUGAGGAAGUGCGCCCGAAACUGCUUUGCUUGAGUGUCGGAGAGGAUGGCGGAAUUCCCCAAGUAGAGGUGAAAUUCGUAGAUAUGGGGAGGAACACCGGUGGCGAAGGCGGCCAUCUGGACGAUUACUGACGCUGAGACGCGAAAGCGUGGGUAGCAAACAGG
rnacentral:rRNA from 1 species